rnacentral:rRNA from 1 species
UACAGAGGUCUCGAGCGUUAGUCGGAGUCACUGGGCUUAAAGCGUACGUAGGCGGAUAUGCAGGCGUCGUGUGAAAUCCCUUGGCUCAACCAAGGAACUGCACGGCGAACCGCAUGUCUUGAGAUCGGUAGGGGCGGUCGGAACGAUAGGUGGAGUGGCGAAAUGCGUUGAUAUCUAUCGGAACGCCGAAGGUGAAAGCAGGCCGCUGGGCCGAUUCUGACGCUGAGGUACGAAAGCGUGGGGAGCGAACGGG